rnacentral:rRNA from 1 species
CGGGAACAGCUCAAAUUUAAAAUCUGGCGGUCUUUGGCAGCCCGAGUUGUAAUCUAGAGAAGUGUUAUCCGCGCUGGACCGUGUAUAAGUAUCCUGGAAUGGAGCGUCACAGAGGGUGAGAAUCCCGUCUUUGACACGGACUACCAGGGCUUUGUGAUACGCUCUCAAA